CUCUGUCCGGACGCUCCUUCACUCCGCUCCUCUCACUGGAACAUCAGGGACGCACUAAUGCUCUAAAGUAACGCAAAAAGGUUACAAACACACCGAGAAAAAAACAAAACAAAACAAAAAAGCGAAAAGGAAGGAAUAUUUAGAACCGAAAACAACUGGAAGGAAUACAACUUGUAGAUGAUCAUAUUUCCCACCCGAAAAAUCACUGGACGUUUUGACAUCAUGAGGAUUUUCAGUGCUGUGCUCUUACUCGUUCACGCCUUGGUGGUGUCCAGAACGGCCAGUGGUGCUGCAGUUGACAGGUAUGAGAGCGACAGACAGCGGCACACAACUGUUAUCAACUUGGACACGACCAAAGACAGGAGGGUGGAGGAGGAGAGCAGAAGCGUGAGUGCUACAACAGCGGAGAAUGGUCAGGAUGGCGAGGAGUACGGAGAUUAUUAUUAUGAAGACGAGUACGAAGGCGGCAUGUCGGGAGACUAUGGGGAACUGCCGCGAAUUGCCAUGGUAAGCAAACCCAACGACCCGUCUGCCAUCCUGGAGACUGAAAGCACUGAAGGAAAGAGAAGGAGAGCAAAGGGAAGAAAGAGGGGGAAAGGCAAGGGAAUGAAGAGGGAUCCUUGCCUGAAGAAGUAUAAAGAUUUCUGCAUUCACGGCACCUGCCAGUACCUGAGGGGCCUCCAUGCCCCAUCCUGUGUGUGCCAUCCGAGUUACUCUGGGGAGAGGUGUCAGUUUUUCACAUUGCCCUUGGAGAAGCCUCAGGAGGGCUACAACCGCACCACAGCUCUGGCCGUGGUGGCGGUGGUGCUGUCGUCCGUCUGCCUCACCAUCAUAGCCCUUUUAUUGUUGCUUAGGUUUCACAAGCGGGGAGCGUAUGAUGUAGAGAAUGAAGAGAAGGUCAAAUUAGGGUUAGCGUCCAACCACUGAAGAGACAAAGAGGCAAAGAUGUGGAAAUUCUACCUCAAAAUAGAAAAAGAGAAGUGAAGCGCGAAUGGAGGUCCUAGAGGGAAACGAUCGUACAUGAAGAAGGGAACAGAGGUUGUCGUCUGCCUCGACCCUCUGCCAGAUGUUCAGAUGUAAAAAUGGGCAGGUGAAUAUAUAUUCCUGAAGGCCUCAGAAGAAAGUGGGCUCACCUGAAACUGGAAUACUAACGGCCCAGAGGAUGGACUGGAGAUGUGACGAACACGAGGGAACGAGAAGAAGGAGAAGGAGAAGGAGAAGGAGAAGAAGGAACAUGUCUAGACUCUGUGCUGCUUCUUGACUGUGUGAAAAGAGGUCGUUUCAGACUGAACUGAACAAGUUUUUUAACAAAAGCAUUUUGUAUUUUCCUGCACAAGUCCAUCUUUUUUUGUUUUUUUGUGUACAGUAAACGGUAUAUUUAUAAUUUUAAUUUAUUUAUUUAAGCUAACUGUAUUUAUAGAGACUUUAACCACCUUCAGCCAUUUUUAAAAUAAUGAUGUUACAGUUGUUUUUAUAUUUCUUAUUGGAACGAUAUUUAUUUAUGAAACAGAAAAGCAAACGAUGCAGAAGCUCCUUGAGAUAUUUAGCAUUUCAUGGAAAGAGAUAUGAUGCAUAACUGUCUGAUUUCUGGCUUUAAGUUUGGCACUCAGUAGAUGAUCAAUAGCACUGUGAUUAAAAAAAAUUGAUCGUUGAAUAGACAGGAUCGGGGUUUUUUUUUUUUAAUUCAGGUUAGUUUCAUUGAGAGCAAUGCUUUUCAGAAACGCCCUGCUCACACUCACACAGUUACACACAUUCACACCUGAAGGCUGCAACCAGUUGGAUCUGUCAGCCAAUCAGCAGCUCCUCUGUAGAAGUUGAGGGUUCAGGGCCGUGCUUAAAGGCACACCAGUGGUAGUAAUGGGGCAGGGGCUGCUCUUCCAGCUACAUUAAACAUGCAGUAGGCUUAGUGUUCUGUCUCAAUGUUAUAAGAUCAGAUCAAUGCCUGUCAUUAACGAUGCAUUGCACUUGCUAUGUAUUGAGUAAAGGUAACAUAAAAACUUCACUUAGCAACUGCAAUGUAAAGAAAUCUUUAAAAGGGAGUCGAAUAUCAAAUGCACUGUAGCAAGAAUUUGGUAUGAAUAUGUUGUCUUACCAUCAUUAGAGGAGAAACUCUGUCAGAUCUAUGUUAAGCUGUCAAGCAAAAACAAAAUGUGAAUUCAAGUGUUCCACCCUUUCAAAUCCUGUCCUGCAGUUUUGAAGUGAUUUUUAUUUAUGUGAUUUUUUUUUUUUCCAGAACAAAUUAAAAAAAAAGACUAUCAGA